ensembl:lncRNA LINC03015 long intergenic non-protein coding RNA 3015
CAUCAAUUUUUCUAGCUUCUUUGGGAUGUCCGCUCUGCAUAUCUACUAAGGAAUUAAGAAAUAAUGGCUUCAGCAAGAAACAAGGCAGGAAAGUGCAGUGACAUGAGGACCAUACAGGGAAGGAGCUGUCCCCAAAGCACGAUGAGCCACUUGAGGCCAGGUACAGCCAUGGCGUGUAUCCCAGAGCACCUGUGAGAAUGUCUCACAGACAGUCCGUCUCUCCUGAAUAUGAAGGGAUGGGCACCAGCCGGAGCCACCAUCCGUGUGACUGGCCCGUGGCCGCCUCCAGCUCACACAGAACCUCUGCACGCAACGGAAAAAGGUCUCCCCUGGGUGAAUGGGGUGGGAAACGUGUGCCCCUCCAGGCGGCUGGUGAGCAGAGUGCUCCCCUCGGCAGGGUGUGACUUGUACAGCUCCACCACGGGCCCUGUAACAAGACAGGCUUCGACCCUGCCCUCUUGCAGCUCGUAUGUAUGAGGGGCAGCCCAAUAAAUAAAUAAGCAAA